CAAUCUGAAGCUGAGAAACAGAGAUUUGUUGCAGUCAUUAAUACAAAACCUUCUCCUUGCGGAAUGUCAGCUUAUCCAUCAUCAGCUAUCUGUCAUCCCUUUCACUACAACUGAUUCUCUAAACCACUUCUCAAAAGUUGUGUAUAACAGACAAAACCCAAGAUCUGUGACUCAACAAUAAUUGUAUUGCCAGUUCUCCAGCAGAAAAUCCAAAGCCUUCCUUUCUGAAAGGACAUCCUGGAGGACAUCAGCGGGUCUUGAGAGUCAGUGGGCGUGCAAUGCAGUAGAUAGUGUUCCAGAUGACGCCAAAGAAUGAAGAGACAUGUUUCUAUAAUAUCUGUAGACACAUCUAA